rnacentral:lncRNA from 1 species
UGAUAAUUUAUGGAUUACUGAGCAAUGAAUAUACGCUAACAUUCUUCUAUGAACUAGAAAUGGAUCAACUUAUGUAAUUAUCCCAAUCAUGUGAAAUAGGUACUACUAUUAUUGCUAUUUUCAAAUGAGAAAAUCAAGCAAAGAGAGGUUAAACAUUUCUCCAAGUCACACAUUUACAAAGUGGUACAGACUAAUUCAAAUCCAGUUUCACUCCCAAGGCCCUCUUUUAAACACUGAGAGCUUCAUGGUGUUUGGCCAUGAAGAGAGAGAAUCAUGAUAACUCAGGAAAAGAGUACUAUGAAAGAGUGGACAGAAGAUGUAGGAAAAGGACACUCAGAGUACUGCAAAGACUUGAAGAGUGGGGGUAUCAAGAGCUAAGACGCAGCAAACAUGGGCAAGACAGAGGAGAACAGCAACAAAAUGGAAAGCUCCAGGCAGUGGUUCAGUCUGAAUGGUUUAUAAAUCAGGAGGAAUUUGUAAACCAAACACUGAAUCUGAAAGUUGCUUCUGCUUCCAUCAUGAAUCAUCAAUUUUAUUAAUUUUGAAUAAUACAAAAAAAGAUCUUGAAUCUAAGAAAUUUAGUAAUUUAAAGAAAGAACACUAACAUAGCUAAAGAAAUUAAAUGAGAGACAAAAGUUUGAAAAAUGCUUAGUCUUUUUUUUUUAUUAGAUAAAAUGGACCUCACUGCAAUGAUACUGCAGAAAAAACCAGGUGGAUAUGUCAUAAAUGUCUGCAUUACUUUUCCAUCUGUCAUUCAGGGGAGAUAGGUACCUACAAAUAUAUAUGCUGUUAGUCAGAAAUUUAUUUUGGUAUUAAAGAAGGACUAAGGGCUAAUGAUUACAACAUUUUUAUUUAAAAAAAUGCCUUAUGAUAAUCUUGAAAUCAUUUACAAUGUAAUUCAAAGUAUGCAUUUUGUUGAGUUUCUUUUAAAAUUGAGUUAUGUAUCAUCUUGUUUAUAUUGGGCUAAGUCUCUAAAUAAAAUGAAUAAAAAAAAUUCUCUCUAACGGCUUAUAACCUCAGUUAUCUCAUUUGUAAAAUUAAGUGGCUGAUAGUUGUCUUUCUGAUCCAAAAUACUAUUAGCCUAUGUUUAUCAAUACCUUUUACCUUUAUCAUGUAACAAUUCAAA